rnacentral:lncRNA from 1 species
UUUGUGCUCGACUUCUACUCCCUUUUUCCCUCCCUCCUGCGCUGCUGCUUUUUUAUCUCUUCGACUUAAAAUUUUUUAUCCGGAGUGUAUUUAAUCGGUUCUGUUCUGUCCUCUUCACCACCCCCACUCCCCCCUCCCUCCGGUGUGUGUGCUGCCCGCCCCGUCGUUACACCAACCGGAGGCUCUUUGUUCCCCCCCUUGGAUCUGUUGAGUUUCUUUGUUGAAGAAGCCAGCAUGGGUGCCCAGUUCUCCAAGACCGCUGCGAAGGGAGAAGCCACCGCGGAGAGGCCCGGGGAGGCGGCUGUGGCCUCGUCGCCUUCCAAAGCGAAUGGGCAGGGAAGUGGCCAUACUCGGAAAGAAAGAACGACCUCGUAUCAUCCUUUUUGGUUCCUCUCAACCACAGCUCAUCUCAAGUAAUGUUUCAGUGGGUUUUUUUUUUAAGUUUCUCACCGUACUUUUAUUGCUAAAACAUUUCCUCUUUUGACUGAAGCACACAAGCAUGAGAAGAAGCAAGAUAGACUCUGUUUGCACACACACGUGCUCGCCUACAUGUAUUUCCCGAUCAGAGAGAUUACAAAGAACCAUUAAAAAUGUUAGUCAUUUGGAAUACCAGAGUUAGAGCGGUGACCAGGUGCUAAAGAGUUUUGAUCAUCAGAUAAAUCCGAAGGUGAUUUACAGAAGCAGCCAGUGUGUGCUGAGGAACAGAGUUUAGGGCAGUGACGUUCCUUGGGAGAAGAGAGGCAGCACCCAACGCAAGCAAUGAAAGCUACACGUUUCCUUUGUUUUAAGUAGGUUUUAUAUUUGCUUACAGAAUGUUUAAAACAUAUUUCACAUCUGUUUCUUAAGAGUUUCAUAUCAGGGUUUUGUUUUUUUUUUCUUUUCUUAAUCAGUUUCUUUACAGAGUUACACCACUACCAAGAAGUUAGGAGAUCAUGUAACCAGUGUGAAAACCAAUUAAAAUUAAUUAUUGUAUAGAGGUUAGAUAAGGUUAAAGUAUCUACCUACCCACCCACAUUCCAGAACUUGGGUAGAGGUCUUUGUGUGCAGGGUGAUAAAUAAGUGUUUGACAUUUGGUGUAUUAAUUGAUUAGCAUUAGAAGAAAUAGCAGCCACACCUGGUGGAUAGUAAAUAGAGCUAGAGACAGAGAGAUUCAAAAGUAUUCCCCUAUCACCCAGACUUACGUCCCCGUGUUUCUCACAAGGGUGUUCAAAAUGAAGCUUUCUUGUUCUUUCUUAAUAAAAUUCUCCCAGGUGAUAUCA